GACAAAUCUAGAAUACACAAAUGCAUGAAAGGAGAAUUAACCCUUGUAGAUCAGUGAUAAUACCCUGAAGUGGACAGAAGGUGGCACUCUAGUUGUACCUUGAAUACAUGCUUCAUGUCAGAAGAACAGCAGUGUGACCUUUCCCAGAGCUUCUCAGACCCAGGGCAAACACAUUUGUGUCAUGGGUCACAGGCCACAAUAACACCUUUAUUUCCUAUAGGAGGGAGUGCUUUUAAAGUUUCAGCUCUUAUUUAAAAUAAAGCGGGUAUUAGAAGGUUGAUUUUCUCGUUUUACCCCUAAGUUUCAUUAUCUCGUUUCACACCUCCUCACUGUCUGCUCACAUGGCCCUGUAGCCUAAUUACAGAGAGUGCUUAGAAAACAGAACCAUGUUUUUCAUGACAUAACAUCUACUCUCGACAUUCUGCACAAACAGGUUGUGCAGAGAACAGGCUUCUAUUCUGGGCUUUCAUGGUCCUCUUUACCUCUUUCAGUGCUGAGCAUGUGCUUUAACAGGCUCUGCCAUUUUAGCAAAGUGCAGCUGGGAUCAAGCAAAAAUCAUCUUUAGGGUAUGAGGAGUGCAAAAAGCAUUAUUAUGUUGUCUUGAGGGAAAAUCAGUCCAUCAGUCUUUUUCGCUUCUUUCUGUUGCCAAGUCAUGCUUACUGAGUUUCUGCGGCUGAAAAUUGGGCCAAAGGGAGAGGUUGAACCACUGUAUCAUUAUGAAUAAUGACCUAAACUCCUCUAAACUUGCUGACAGAAAUUUUCACCAACAAAAAUUGGUCAAGAUGUGCUUUCUUAAACACACGCAGACACACAAAAUAGACUGUGUGUCUAGGAAGUCUAGAGUUUAACAGCUUUCAGAAUAUCCAGACACAUAAUGACAGGAGAAACAAGUCCUGUUUUUUCACACACUCUUUAGCAUUUGGCCUCCAGAAGGCCCUGGUUAGUGCAAUUACCAUAAAAGUACUGCAGGCCAUCUCCAGCAGGCUUGCAGCACUCGCCGUACUCUCCAACCAGUCAGCCCGGCGGUCGGCCAGCAAAGCAGAGCUGAACUGUCUGCCGAUACUGAGGUAGCCCCUCCCCUCCUGCCCUGGGCCAAGGAUGGACACGCCCGCUCCAGCGCCUCCGCAUUCCUAGCAUUCCUCUAAGCCUGUCACAUCUGUGCUAGCCAGUCUGAUUGGCCUGGGCCUGCGAACACAGCCAGAGCUCGGGCCAACACACACAUGCUCAUAUGCACUUCCAGCUCUGGGAGAAGCAGGGGUUCAAGCCGGGCUGGGGGCUAUUAGGUUUGGGGUGGGGGUGGUGGGGUCGUCAGUUAAGAGGGGCAAAAGGGGCAGCUGAUGCAGUAACUCUUGGAAGAAACACAAAGCCAUAACUGUCUCUGCCAACAACUGCCACCUGGCAGCAAAGCAGCCCCUUUUCCCAAAACAACACCACUGUGUGACCCUGCAUUCAACGGACAGCAGCACCUGCUGCCGACCAUCCCAGCAGAGGAUGGCAGAGAAAGAACAAUGCCAGUUCAACCCCCACCCAACUGUCACUCUCAAUCUCUUCAGCUGAGGGGCAAAGAGGGAAAAAACAUUACGCCCUCCCAACCACAGAGUUCUGCUAUAAAUUUCACAGAUAUCCCAUUGCAAAGUUCUGUACACUGAUAUACAGUAUGAACUAGGUUCUACAGGUUUGACUAAGAAAGAUAAAGACUUCUCUUAGAAAGGUGAGGUGGACUCAGCACUGCACAGAGCUGAUCAUACUGUAAGUAUGAUCAGACCUUCAGGCUGAGGCUGGGGAAAACCAAGUACAAUCAAAGUGAUUAUAUAAAGGAUUUUAAAAUAGCAGACCAUAUACUUUUUCUGUAACAUUUAUUAUAACAGCGUGGAGCACAGUAAUGACUUGGUAUUGCAUGGUAAAUCAAAAACGUGUUUUGUUCAUUUGUUGAACAGUGAAGUUCUGUGGUUGUGAGCUGAGAAGAUACAGUAUCUCCAGUUUUACCACAACAUCUGGUUGGUUUUGUGAUAUUUUAAAAUCCUUGGUUUUGUUUUAAGUGAUAUACAGUUUGCUGCUGAGACAGGCAAAAAAAAAAAAAACCUCUGGUGUUUGAUUUCAAAGUCUAUAAUAAACAUUUAUAAAGUUGAAUGUUAUAAUGACUUGGAAACUGAACUCACAUUCUCAGGCACUACUUUUUCUGCUCAGUGGAAAAAGACAAACUGGAUUAUGAUACUGUACCACUGCAACAUUGAACAGGAAAAUGAUUUGUAUCAACUAUUACAUUCCUAAAUGAUAUAUAGCACAACUUCAUGGAAAACAGUAAAAUCGCUCAGGAGACCUGUUUAACUGCAGGCGCAAACUGCUCUGGAUCACUAAAAUCAGGAGGGUGAGUUGAUGCCUACAAAAACAAAACCUGCAGCUGGACAGCAUUCCCUUAGGGUAAAAAAUAAAAUCACAACCUGACAUAGAAUAUUAAAAAAAAUGUCCUGAGACUUCAAAGCAGCAGCUGCAUGGUAUGCACAUGCACACUUUAUGGAUAAUUAGCACUUCUGCUUUUUCUUAGAGUGGUGAUCCAGUCUAACUGGUUAUUUUAGUUGAUCAUAUUUUAGACACACUGCUCUCUCAGAACCCAACAGAUAAAAUAUCAAGGAUAUGAUCUCUGUGUCGUCUGUCUGCAGCCGUGGCAGCCAAGAUUUGCUCAGACUUGAAAUGGUGUGUGUGUGUGUGUGUGUCUGUGGGGGCGGUCAGAGAGACAGUGAAAAGGCUGGCCAACACAGCAGGGGAUCAUGACAGGUGCAUACAAACAGAAACGCUAGUACAAUCGCAUGCACGGCCUCACUUGUCCUCUGCCUCUAAUUUCCCCACACUCGCUGUCUUUCCAUCUCUCUACCCUCUUUCUGAGCUGCUUAUGAUUCCCUUGUUGAUUGCUCAACACCCACUCAGAUCGCUGCAGGCUUCCACUCUUAACCUCUUCUCUGACAGGACACGCCUAUCUUUUUCUUUUACUACACGACCGCUGGAAUUUUCCACUUCCACGCUAAGAUAGCGAGCAAAAAGAAUGCUUUGCAGCAGCGACAGCUGCAGGGCUGAGAGAGAGAGAGAGAGAGAGAGAGAGAGAGAGAGAGAAAGAGAGAGAGAGAGGUGUGUGCUUGGGGUUUGACACACCUGUCGAGGCCAGAAAACGCAGGUUCAGAGUAACAACAGAAGCUGCAACCAUGGCUGAGUUAUCUCAGGAUGAUUUUCCUCCUGCCACAGGGAGGGUAGAUGGCAAGGGCCUCCUGGAAGCUCUGCUCGAUAUCCGGGCUCCACACGCCCUCGGCGUCCCCGUCCAUGGUCUUGUCCUCGUUGUCCCCGUCCAGCCCAUCUUCUGGGCUACCG